CGGACGGGUGAGUAAUGUCUGGGAAACUGCCCGAUGGAGGGGGAUAACUACUGGAAACGGUAGCUAAUACCGCAUAACGUCGCAAGACCAAAGAGGGGGACCUUCGGGCCUCUUGCCAUCGGAUGUGCCCAGAUGGGAUUAGCUAGUAGGUGGGGUAACGGCUCACCUAGGCGACGAUCCCUAGCUGGUCUGAGAGGAUGACCAGCCACACUGGAACUGAGACGCGGUCCAG
rnacentral:rRNA from 1 species